CCGGCUCGCACCGGGUGCAUUGUGUUCUGAUCCGCGGCUGGCUUCUCGGGUGGCCUCCGCUUCUGGAGGGGAAGGGAGGCUUGUUUUGCGAUCGAGCCCAUGCCGAACGUGGUGGAGCUGUGGCAGGCGGAGGAAGGGGAACUCCUGCUGCCCACUCAGGGUGAUUCUGAAGACGAUACAGAGGAGCAGUCUCAAGAA